CAGUCGCCGCGGGAAUACAGAGGAUGCAAGCGUUAUCCGGAAUGAUUGGGCGUAAAGGGUGCGUAGGCGGAUUCUUAAGUCAGGGGUGAAAUCCCGAGGCUCAACCUCGGAACUGCCUUUGAUACUGGGGAUCUUGAGUCCGGAAGAGGUGAGUGGAACUGCGAGUGUAGAGGUGAAAUUCGUAGAUAUUCGCAAGAACACUAGUGGCGAAGGCGGCUCACUGGUCCGGAACUGACGCUGAGGCACGACAGCGUGGGGAGCAAACAGGAUUAGAUACCCCCGUAGUCCCUGUCUCUUAUAC
rnacentral:rRNA from 1 species